rnacentral:lncRNA from 1 species
CCGCCAUCGUGGAAAGGGAUUGUCGGCUUCAAGGCACGUUUUUUGUGUAAGGCCUGUGUGGACCCAGGGCCCAAAGCCCAGGACCACUCGCCAUCUCUGCAGGACUCUGGAAUCAGACUGGAAUUGAAGCUACUGAGUCCCCUGUUGUUGAUUCUUCUUGUCUCUACCCACAGCACAGCCUGGGGAAAAUCAGGACUCAGCCUGAGGACUCUCUCUCUCCCAAAAGGGGAGCGUUAAAGAGGAAGGAAUGUCCUCUGUGUUCCUGACAGCUGGACCCCAGGUGAGUUAGAAUUUCAUUUCUCUUUCUAAAAUGCCACUUCAGGUCUUGAGGGAGUGAAAAAUUUCCUUCUU